GACGAACGCUGGCGGCGUGCUUAACACAUGCAAGUCGAACGGAAAGGCCCUGCUUUUGUGGGGUGCUCGAGUGGCGAACGGGUGAGUAACACGUGAGUAACCUGCCCUUGACUUUGGGAUAACUUCAGGAAACUGGGGCUAAUACCGGAUAGGAGCUCCUGCUGCAUGGGGGGGGUUGGAAAGUUUCGGCCGUUGGGGAUGGACUCGCGGCUUAUCGGCUUGUUGGUCGGGUAGUGGCUUACCAAGGCUUUGACGGGUAGCCGGCCUGAGAGGGUGAACGGCCACAUGGGGCCUGAGAUACGGCGCAGUCGCCUACGGGAGGCAGCAGGGGGGAGUAUUGCACAAUGGGCGGAAGCCUGAUGUGGCAACGCCGGGUGCGGGAUGACGUCUUUUGGGUUGUAAACCGCUUUCGCAUGUGACGAAGCGGGAGUGACGGUACUGAGUAAAGAAGCACCGGCUAACUACGUG
rnacentral:rRNA from 1 species